AAGUUUAUCUCAAUCGUCUUUUCCAGAGAAAUGUUCAGAGGAUGUCUGAUAUAAAUUAAUUGAUUGAACAACUAAAUGAACUAAUUGUCUGUUAUAGAAAUAAAUGUGUCCGGUCGUUUGAGCUUCAUGGUAAUAUUUAUUUGUCGAAAAUUGUUGAAAUAUUGUUGAAAUGGAUGAUUAUUUUUCCUAAAAUACUCGUCUACAUUUGUUAAAAAGUAAUUUAACUUUUCAGUGUACAUGUUUUCUAACCGCUUAAAUAUAAAUGAACUGGCUAAACGUAAACAAAAUGUCAAAUAGUCAGUAAAUAACCAUCGUAAUUGAAAUACAAAUGAAUAUGUAAUUCUAAA